rnacentral:lncRNA from 10 species
GGUGGGUCAAGUUUAAGAGGGUAGGCCCAGGCUGUCACUGAGGAGAAAGGCUGUCCUGGCCCUGUCAGACAAGUACCUUCUGCCAAUCCCUGGUGGUUUCACUUUGCAGGCAGGAAGAGGCAGGCAGCGCAGGUGGAUGGUCCCCAAGCUGUCUGUAUUCAUUACUUUACAGAAACUUGUUGUAGGUAGGCAGGUCCAGAGACCUUUCCUCUUCUCUGUUGUCAUGAUGUUAGGCAUCAUCUGCAAAGUGUGAGAUAGAUAACUCUAUAACUAACUCUGGGCUUGGUUCAGGAGAGGAGGAGAAUAAGGGGGCGGAAGCUAUUAGUGGCAGCACUUCCCAGCCACCCCUUACUGGUCUCCUACUUGGUAAUUUCUAUCGUGGGCUACCAUUAUAUCAGUAGGAUUUCUCUAGAACCUUUCCAUCACUUCACCUGAGUUUUCUUUAUCGGAAGAAAAAAACAAAAAAACAAAAAGAAAUGUCUGAUCACCUGCCCUAAGUCUACAGUUGAGAGCAGUUUUGGGGACUAGUAAGUCAUGUUCUCUUAAGGACAGCGUCUCCUAGGUGAGCGGCUCGUAGUCCAUAUGGAGCAAAUUAGACAGUGAAAGAAUGGUGCUGCUACUGUUUCUGAUUGGUUACGGUAGUAUUAAAAAAGAACAACAACCGACUUGCCCAGCUCUGAAGAAGAAAGAUGGAUAAAAUGCUCUUUGAACACACUAGUCUUUUUUUUUUAAUGUCUGUACAGAAGGGUUGCAUUUAUAUUUGGCUUUCCAGACCUG